rnacentral:rRNA from 1 species
GACGAACGCUGGCGGCGUGCUUAACACAUGCAAGUCGAACGAUGAAGCCGGAGCUUGCUCUGGUGAAUUAGUGGCGAACGGGUGAGUAACACGUGAGUAACCUGCCCUUGACUCUGGGAUAACUGCUAGAAAUGGUAGCUAAUACCGGAUACGACCCUCGGAGGCAUCUUCAGGGGGUGGAAAGAAUUUCGGUCAAGGAUGGACUCGCGGCCUAUCAGCUAGUGGGUGAGGUAAUGGCUCACCAAGGCGACGACGGGUAGCCGGCCUGAGAGGGUGACCGGCCACACUGGGACUGAGACUCGGCCCAGACUCCUACGGGAGGCAGCAGUGGGGAAUAUUCGACAAUGGGCGCAAGCCUGAUGCAGCAACGCCGCGUGAGGGAUGACGGCCUUCGGGUUGUAAACCUCUUUUAGUAGGGAAGAAGCGAAAGUGACGGUACUGCAGAAAAAGCACCGGCUAACUACGUGCCAGCCGCCGCGGUAA